CAUGCAAGUCGAACGAGAAGGUUUUGAUGGAUCCUUCGGGUGACAUUAGAACUGGAAAGUGGCGAACGGGUGAGUAACGCGUGGGUAACCUGCCCUAUGGAAAGGAAUAGCCUCGGGAAACUGGGAGUAAAGCCUUAUAUUAUGGUUUUGUCGCAUGGCAAGAUCAUGAAAACUCCGGUGCCAUAGGAUGGACCCGCGUCCCAUUAGCUAGUUGGUGAGAUAACAGCCCACCAAGGCGACGAUGGGUAACCGGUCUGAGAGGGCGAACGGUCACACUGGAACUGAGACACGGUCCAGACUCCUACGGGAGGCAGCAGUGGGGAAUAUUGCGCAAUGGGGGCAACCCUGACGCAGCAAUACCGCGUGAGUGAAGAAGGUUUUCGGAUCGUAAAGCUCUGUUAUUGGGGAAGAAGAAUGACGGUACCCAAUGAGGAAGUCCCGGCUAACUACGUGCCAGCAGCCGCGGUAAUACGUAGGGGACAAGCGUUGUCCGGAAUGACUGGGCGUAAAGGGCGCGUAGGCGGUCUAUUAAGUCUGAUGUGAAGGGUACCGGCUCAACCGGUGAAGUGCAUUGGAAACUGGUAGACUUGAGUAUUGGAGAGGCAAGUGGAAUUCCUAGUGUAGCGGUGAAAUGCGUAGAUAUUAGGAGGAACACCAGUGGCGAAGGCGGCUUGCUGGACAAA
rnacentral:rRNA from 1 species